rnacentral:tRNA from 1 species
GGGCCCGUGGCUCAACGGUAGAGUAUUCCCAUGGCAUGGGAAGGGUUAGGGGUUCGAUUCCCCUCGGGUCCACCA